GAUUAGAAUAAGUACCGGUCUCGUUACGGUAAUUGCCGCAGGCUGCCUCAGAACCAGCGCAAGCGCCAACCUCGCGGUGUCCCUGGGGGUGGCGGAGCGGCGCUCGCCCUCACUGCCGCGCGCAGGACCCAGGUGCCCGGGCGGCUGCGGCACUCGUGCAGCGUGCUCGGCCGGGCCCCCGGCUGCAGCGCUGCGGGGCUCCAGGACCUCCACAUGGACACGUGAGCUGCUGCUCCACAGACGUGCGGGUUCGGAUGGAGGGGACGCGAGGGCUCUGCUCUCUAAACCUGCAGCUCUGGUGCUCGGCAGACGCAGCUGAUGACCAGACGUCGCCUCUGUUACCAUCAUGUUUUACUCCAUCGUUUCCAUCACAGAGCAGAGGAAGGUGACUGGGUGCUCCCACCACUGGAGCAGCAUCAGCCCAACAACAGCACAUCUCCUCCCCAGCACCAGUGCACAAGAGCUGGUGUCGCAGCCAGAGGACACAAACCAGCACCGACACCUGUUAUUUAAUGUAGCUUCAGAGCAUUGCUUUGGUCAUCCUGGCCAGCACCUCGUCCUGUGUCAGGGAAUUGUGUCCUCAGAGGGGUUUUCACAUGUGUGGCCACCCAACAACCACUCCUCUCCCCUGGACAGCAGGUGAAGGAUGGGGAUGCUGCCCAGCCCCUGCUCCACCUCUGCUUCCCCGCUGUCGUCUGCUCAUCCAGCACCCGUUCUGUGCCUAUAGCUAGGAAUUAGUUACCAUCAUCACAGAGAUCAUUUAGCGGAGAGCCAGGAGGGUGCCACCAGUCUCGCAUAGUGGCAGCACCUCCAUUAAAACCAGUUUAAUUGCGGUACCUUGUUCAGGGUCAGACAGGUCAGUACCUCGUGUGUGCAGCCGCCCCAGCCCAUCAAGCCCAGUGCUGCGCAGUGGAGCAGCAGCUGUCCUUGGUGCCCAUCGCCCAUGGGAGGUGUCUGGUCACUGCAGUGGCAGUGUCCCGGGCACCCACCAGCGCUGCUGCCCUGCUGGGCGCAGCCUCUGACCCGCAGCAGACAGCAGCGAUUCCUCAGCCGCGGCACCAUUUGCGAUGGCGGCUGGAACCAGAGGAACAGACACAACCCAAUUCCCUUGAAGAGCAAAGGCCAUGACUCACCGCAGCGACCUCCUGGGUGUCCACCCCUUGUCACCGCAGCCGGGCCCCGGUCUGCACCCUGUGGCCUCGCUAGUUAGAACAAGCAGAUCUGCAGGUGUUGGCGGGCAGCAUCCUCCC
rnacentral:lncRNA from 1 species